GUACAGUAAUGUUAAUUAUGCACGCACGUGUGUGUGUCUUUAUGUGUGAAAAGAUAAAGUUGCACAAUAUGUUCGGUGAAAAAGUCUCCAGUUUGACGGCUCUCCCACGCAAUUAUCAUACCAAGAAGAAACGGGAACUUAAGCAAGUGUUUUAAUACACUUCAAAAGAAGAGGCGCGCAUGAGGUUGCAUCAUCCAGCCAAUAAACGCCGAAGCGCGGAUACUCACGGAUGCAAAGGCAGGCCACGAGUUUAGCCGGGGUCUCCGGUACCGGGCAGACGGGGAACAGCGGCUUGAUGAGUAUUCUCCAUCGCCUUCUAGUGAGCUGUGCGCCUCACUUCUCUGGAUCUCCUUCUUGACCCUGACUGCCUCCCUAGAUCCUCGACUUCCCUCGCUUUGGACCCGGACUUCAGUACGCCUCUCUCCAACCCCACAGACCUCACGCUUGGAUCACAGACCUCUUUCUGCCCAGCCCCUUUGGACUUGUUCGCCUCUACAACCAACACACCCUAACAACAAACUCCUGGUAAAUACUUUCUUGUUAGUUCCUGCACAUAAUCUUGCAUGCACACACAUAGUAGCAUACACACUGCACUCACUCCUCAAAAGCUCAAUAAACCCUGUUGACCGAGA